UUAUAAUUCAUUUAAUAUUAGUAAUAUGCAUAUUUGUUUUGGAUAUUUCAUGUCACUUUGCAUACGAUAUAAAUUUCACAUUGAAAUUUUCCAUAAAUGCAUAAGCAUCCACGGUCCUAGUUAUAAAAUAUGAAAAUCUCUAGGGCGCCAAUUUAGCAGGGAAUCUCAACGUAAUACCACCUUUCCCUCUAGUUCCACCAAUGGUGUUAAAUUCACGAUAAACAAACAAUAAGCAUCUCUUUCGAUAAAAUUCUUUCAAAAUUUCUACGAAAUUUUACACAAUUGACAAACUUCAAUUAACUAUUUCCACUUGUCGCUUAAAUAACUCUAAAUAACUCUUUUAAAUUUAAUUAUAUUUAUAUAUAAGACACUUGAUCGUGCCUCGUGAUAGACAGAUUAAUUUCUGACAGCAACGUCGCGAUUCAUCGUCGCUCAAAAGUGCGAGCAAAUAGGCGGAAGAUAACGAUAACGUCCACGCCAAUAACGACGGUCAGCUAUGAUUAUUAAUCAUGUGCAGGUUGCGCGUGCGAAUGUCAGCGGUGCGUGGGGAGUCUGACUAAUCGUUCCGCCAUUGCGGAAUAAUAUACCCAUGGCAGUCGAGGCUCGUUUUGCUGCUGUGUUUCUAUAGUUUAGACGUUACGCUAUACUUGCAGUUGUUUUGCGCGAUUUCGACUGCAAAUGAUACGAUAUUCGGAAAGCUUUAUUUUACUCUCAUCCGUUUUCAUAGAUUAUAACUUUCAAUAAUAUUAUUAUAAAAGAAGAGAUAUGUAUCAUAAUUUUGGAUAUAUGGAAAUAAUAAUAACUAAAAUAUUCUUAUUCAUAUUUCAAUGAUAUACAGGUAUGCAAUAGAUAUAGAAAAAUUAUUUGUUUUUUUUUUAUGCUUUAAAAUUGUAAUAUAAAAAUAUAAAUAUUUUUUGUGUAAGUAUGUUUCGUUUUUUUCUAAUCUUUAAUUUUUUAAACGUUAACAAUGAUUAUUUAUCGUUACCACUUUUAUAACGCAUCGUUACGUGUAAUUUAGGUUAUGUUUAAUUGAAAAGCAUAAGCAUGAGAAACGUGAUUAAUAGAGUUGAAAGUAAUAUUGUAUUCCAUAGAGAAUAUAUACGAUGAAGAAUAUUAAUUACUUUCUUGGUCUGUUAUCAGGUUUACUGUUGGAAAUUUCUUCUUCUUCUGCCGGCCUGUUUCCAGUUGUUGCGAGAAAACAAGAUGAGCAGCAUCUUCCGGCCAGGAUAUUUUGUGGGAAAGUACGAAAUCCUCCAGUAAACCAACAGAAUCCUACCGGCUGGUGGCUUUAUCCUGGAACGGUCCCGCGCUAAUGCAGCAAUAAACAUGCAUCUAUCUGAAGCAGAAUCGAGUCGCAGCUCCGCCAGACAAGAGAACAACGGGCGGAGAAUAAUAUGCAUCAACGUGAAAGAAGAAGCGCAACCGUGAAACUUUUUAAGUUGAAAUGAUUAAGCUCGAGAUAAAUGUAAUUAAGUUUACCAAGAUAAAGAUAGAAGUAAUAAGAAGGUUUCCAGGAGGAAUAACAGGAGUGGUUCGUAGCUGUUACUAGCACUGAACCUAUCAGAGUGCACAACGCCGAAUACACUUCACUUCCCCAUAGAUAUUACAUGUGCACGUAUCUACUUGCAGUUAUCUAUGCCAGUGAAUGUCAUCCGACAGGAAGAUAGCCUAUGAAUUACCGGCAGAAUGAGUAUGUAGAGACGUGUGCACGUCACCCGGGUGUUUCGUCGGGUAAAACUAGGUGAAUCGAGUGGAACUAUCCGGCAAUCUUCGAGUCAAAUUCAUCUGGUGGGAAUAAACUAAUAUAACUAGACUUCCAGAAUCUACGAGUUACUGAAAAUGAAGCGUCGUUUCAAUGGAGAGCUUCUUUAAGAUUUUAUCAAAUUCUCAAGUUCUUUCUCUAAUGAGAUUCUUUAAUUUCUUUCAAAUUUUUCUGAAGAAAAAUGGAACAAAAAUAUAGAAGCAAAAGAUAUGAUGAAUUUGAUAAUUUUGUUCUUCAUAAGUAAAGUACAAAAGCGGGGACCAAGAUGUGCCUAAUCGUUAAUUGGAUCGAGAUUCGAAAGGACGCGUAAAGAGGACGAUACGGUUCCCAAGGUUCUCGGUUAAAAACUCGAUCCUCGUUAUUUGAAAGGUGAGACGUACCGAUCUACGUGCCUAAUCUUUCGCCAAGGUGCACAAGCCAAGAAACUACAUUGGUUGAAGCUCACGAACUGCAAACAAGCUCUGUUGCAUCGUAAGUAUUCCUUUACAGACAAUGGAGGAUGAAAGGAAACAAGAAGAAGAAAGAACGAGAGAGAAAAAGGAAAAAAAAGACUAUCCUGCGAGAAAAGGUGGUCCAGGUCCGGAUGCGAUGAACAGGCGAUGAACGUCGAGAAAGAAAUAAGAAGCUUAUUCAACUUCAACAUUAACCCGAAGAAUCAAGUUGCUGGAAGGAUCGUUGGAAAAAUUCUGCGCGCGAAAAUAUCCGAGCAGUAAAAAAAAAGUCUUCCACGUCGCCGUAAUAAAAUCUUCCUCCACGUCUGACGGCGUGUAAUGAGCGCCCCCUCCCGAAGGGAGGAAGAAAGGAAGGAAGGAAGGAAGGAAGAAAGCACGCAGGAGGGGGUGGCCAGAUGACAGCGAGGGGUUAGAUUUAACUCGGCUACGGAGAUAAAGAGAACGGUUUUAUCUUCGCGCGUGAUUAAGCCACGCGGCAGUAUAUCAUCGAUUAUAUACUCGUUAGCCUAAGUGGCGGGCCUUCCCUUUUCCUCGGAAUACAGGAAGGCUCCUCCUUCGACUCGCCCACGCGGAAAGAUAACCACUGGUCCCGUUUUCUUUUGAGUCUAUCGGCAUUAUAUUCGAAUUUAUGGGGCGACGUUUCGCCAUCAUUGAUAAAUAAUCGAGACCGAUGGUGGAUGCCAACGAUCCGUGGAUUAAUUCGGGAAUUAACGGGAUGGGAUAUGGUGGAGAUAUUCCAGUGAAUUUUAUAUAUAAUAAUACAAAUUUACUUGUAUAUAUUUAUUUAUUUGUUUAUUCUUUUUUCUUAAAGAAUUUUAAAGAUAUUCUUGGCUUAAUUUUGUAUUAAAGGGAAAGUGGUUUUAAUAAUGGAGAUAUUAGGGAUAGAUUGUUGGAAAUGGAAUUGUUUAUGAGAUUGUUUUAUUAAAUUGAUUAGAUACAGCUUGUUCACUUGUUGAAAAGUAAAAUUAAAAUUACAAUUAGAAUCUUUAUUGAUUGAUUAGAUAAUUGUUUGAUUUAUUUUAUGUUCUUCGAUGGAAUAAUCUCUUCCAGAAUUUUUUUAAUAAUUUCUUUCCAUCAUUUUUUAGUAAUUGCGUUAAAUUUUAAACUUGAAAAUACAUGUUGAAGCAUACUUUACAUAGUGAAAUACAAAAUUAUUAUACUUUGAUGUAAAAU
rnacentral:lncRNA from 1 species